GUGGCCAAUACUGAUUCUGGAUAAUUUCCUCAAAAUUGCCAGUGAUCCUCCUGUGUGAAUCUCGUGAACGCAAACUGAAGCCGAAGCAGAUAACGUUAGCGUGUUUGCCUAGUUAAUUUAGUUAUCAUGCGGCUAUUUAACCGUCAAAUUUAGGCGAAAAAGUCCAUUAACUGUUGUCAAUAAUUUAGAAAUGUAUGAUCACUUUCAAAGCAGCUUUCGGUUAAUGGACGCGUCGAAUCCACGUGACCAACUUGAGUCCGUUGUGAACCCGGAAAUCUUUCGUCGUUACGUGAAAUGCAGGAUCGUGGAUUCUUAAGAUAAUUUCCGAAUUUUGCCUAGGAAAAUUCGUUAAACAUAUUGCUUCGAACGUGAGUGACACUCCGCGACCCGCGAACCCGUUCAGCAACACGUGAUGCAGUUGUUUACCGAAAGGACGAUACAAAAUGAAUGAAUGGUGUGUUUGCCUGAGAUCCAGCUUCUGACUCAUCUGACCAUCAUGGACUCUGGAGUGAGUGUGUUUUGUUGGACCGGCUCAGAGCGUUGAGUGAAUCCCAUCAGCCCGACCUCGGCCCGCUCUCAUCUGCUGCUCCAUCCACACGCAGAGGAUACAGGGAAGAUGAUAAUCUGCUAAAACGCUCCUUCCCCGCACCAGCCGGCUUAUUAAAGCAUGCAGAUGAGCGCGUGACGAGAUGUGCAUGUGAUCACGGUUCUCCGGACCUCACGUGUGUGCUGUCUUCUGCAAUGAGUGCUGAACUGAGAGCUUGUCAAUUAAACUGAACGAGUUGCU